GACGAACGCUGGCGGCGUGCCUAAUACGUGCAAGUAGAACGCACAGUUUAUACCGUAGCUUGCUGCACCAUAGACUGUGAGUUGCGAACGGGUGAGUAACGCGUAGGUAACCUGCCUGGUAGCGGGGGAUAACUAUUGGAAACGAUAGCUAAUACCGCAUAAUAUUGAUUAUUGCAUGAUAAUUGAUUGAAAGAUGCUAUUGCAUCACUACCAGAUGGACCUGCGUUGUAUUAGCUAGUAGGUGAGGUAACGGCUCACCUAGGCGACGAUACAUAGCCGACCUGAGAGGGUGAUCGGCCACACUGGGACUGAGACACGGCCCAGACUCCUACGGGAGGCAGCAGUAGGGAAUCUUCGGCAAUGGACGAAAGUCUGACCGAGCAACGCCGCGUGAGUGAAGAAGGUUUUCGGAUCGUAAAGCUCUGUUGUAAGAGAAGAACGGGUGUGAGAGUGGAAAGUUCACACUGUGACGGUAUCUUACCAGAAAGGGACGGCUAACUACGUG
rnacentral:rRNA from 1 species